rnacentral:rRNA from 1 species
CCUACGGGUGGCAGCAGUGGGGAAUAUUGGACAAUGGGGGGAACCCUGAUCCAGCGACGCCGCGUGAGUGAAGAAGUAUUUCGGUAUGUAAAGCCCUAUCAGCAGGGAAGAAAGAAAUGACGGUACCUGACUAAGAAGCCCCGGCUAACUACGUGCCAGCAGCCGCGGUAAUACGGAGGGGGCAAGCGUUAUCCGGAUUUACGGGGUGUAAAGGGAGCGUAGACGGCGAUGCAAGUCUAAAGUGAAAGGCGGGGGCCCAACCCCCGGACUGCUUUGGAAACUGUAUGGCUGGAGUGCAGGAGAGGUAAGUGGAAUUCCUAGUGUAGCGGUGAAAUGCGUAGAUAUUAGGAUGAACACCAGUGGCGAAGGCGGCUUACUGGACUGUAACUGACGUUGAGGCUCGAAAGCGUGGGGAGCAAACAGGAUUAGAUACCCGGGUAGUC